rnacentral:lncRNA from 1 species
AAACUUCACUGGUCAUUACCAAGGAAUAUUCUGGAAUUUAUUCUUUCUUAUUAAAAGUAAAGAGAGAGUGGUGGGAGAGAAACAAUACGUAUGGAGUAGGAAGGGGAGGCAGAAAGGAAAGAAGGAAGGAAGGAAGAGAGGAAGGAAGGAUGGGUUAAGAGCUCAGCUUCUUAAACCAAAACAACAAAAAAAAUUUUCCUGGUGUUGCCCUCAACAUGUCUGACAGUUUUAAUAUAUAAACUAAGCAUGUAAACUUAAAAUGGUUGUGGGAAUUUCCCUAGAGAAAAAAAAUCCCAAGCAUGAUCUGUCAAAAAUAAUAAAAAUAGAACUUUGUCAUUCCGUCAGCCAAGGCCCAAAGGAAGUUGAAUUAGAGCAGCAGAAGAAUGUAUUGCUUUUGGCUGAACGACAUAUCUGAUGAUGCUAAUUAUCGUCUUGAACACAGGCAUGACUCAGUGGCAAAAGACUGGUGGAAAGGCUGCCAAGAUCUGAGACUGUGUGUAUACAGGCCCCUGGGAUCUGACAUGGUUGAAAGGUCAAGUAGCUUCCCUGUCAUUGUUUUAAGAGAAGCCAUCAAUUCCUGUAAUGCCUUUAAUUUUGGCUGACUGCAGCUGCCUUUCUUGGGUAGGAUUGGACUUUUUUUAUUGUACACUGUUCUUUCAGAUAUUUUCUAUAGAAAUCAAAGUUACAAUUAUGUUCUCACAAAAACAAAAUGCAUUGCAUUCAAUUCAUAUCUUGGGCAACAUCUGAUGUGUCUUUGAAACCCUUUUAUACAUUACAUCAUAUUUCCUGCCCAUAAAAUGAAAACACACGUCAAAACCUCAGUUAGUCUAUGUAUCUUGGUGAGACUCCUAGCAUAACACGCUAUAACUAGAUUUUUUUCCAGGCAAGGGCCUGGGGGUUAAAUACCCUGGGUGGAUGGAGUUGGGUAUCAGUCCUUCUGCUGCACUGAAAUACGUU